rnacentral:rRNA from 1 species
AGAGUAUGAUCCUGGCUCAGGAUGAACGCUAGCGGCAGGCCUAAUACAUGCAAGUCGAACGGUAGGUUUUUCUUCGGAGAAACUGAGAGUGGCGCACGGGUGCGUAACGCGUAUGCAACCUACCCUUAACAGGGGGAUAGCCCAGAGAAAUUUGGAUUAAUACCCCAUAGUAUUAUUAGAAGGCAUCUGAAAAUAAUUAAAGAUUUAUCGGUUAAGGAUGGGCAUGCGUGACAUUAGAUAGUUGGUGAGGUAACGGCUCACCAAGUCUACGAUGUCUAGGGGUUCUGAGAGGAUGAUCCCCCACACUGGUACUGAGAUACGGACCAGACUCCUACGGGAGGCAGCAGUAGGGAAUAUUGGUCAAUGGGCGAGAGCCUGAACCAGCCAUGCCGCGUGCAGGAAGACGGCUUUCUGAGUUGUAAACUGCUUUUGUACGGGAAGAAAAAGUCCUUGCGAGGAAAAUUGCCGGUACCGUACGAAUAAGCACCGGCUAACUCCGUGCCAGCAGCCGCGGUAAUACGGAGGGUGCAAGCGUUGUCCGGAUUUAUUGGGUUUAAAGGGUGCGUAGGCGGAUCUUUAAGUCAGUGGUGAAAUCCUGCA